rnacentral:rRNA from 1 species
GAGUUUGAUCAUGGCUCAGAUUGAACGCUGGCGGCAUGCCUUACACAUGCAAGUCGAACGGCAGCAUGAUCUAGCUUGCUAGAUUGAUGGCGAGUGGCGAACGGGUGAGUAAUACAUCGGAACGUGCCCUGUAGUGGGGAUAACUAGUCGAAAGAGUUAGCUAAUACCGCAUACGACCUGAGGGUGAAAGUGGGGACCGCAAGGCCUCAUGCUAUAGGAGCGGCCGAUGUCUGAUUAGCUAGUUGGUGGGGUAAAGGCCCGACCAAGGCGACGAUCAGUAGCUGGUCUGAGAGGACGAUCAGCCACACUGGGACGUGUAGACACGGCCCGACGACUCCUA